UGAGCGCCGUUUCCGGUAGGACGCUCCGGUGCGUCCAAGCUCCGGCGUAACCUGCGCCCGCGUGUAGGUGCGCGCCGUGCCGCGGAUGCAACGGACUUGUUCCGCGAAACCUGGUUCCUCCGUCGACCAAGAUUUCCUGCUACGAAACGCGAAGAGUAAUUGCACACGGGAUGCAGACUUACGAGCCACUGAAAUUGGAGAAAAUGCUGCUGCGCGACAUACUUCUCCAACAACUUUUUUUUUUCUCGUUUAAACGUGUACGCGCGGCGCGAUAGAAAUUGUGAAACUUUCGUGAAAAUUCAAUAACGACGUCGUUGCUGCGGACAUUUUUCACGUGUUACAAUGGCUAUUGUAAUGAUUUAUUGAUGUUCAAAUUGCUGUAAAUCAUUGUAGCAUGUACUAGUAUAGAUUAU